CGCAUACACACGCAUUGGCUGUAGAGGUGGCUUACUAUGGGAAAUUAAUUGCUUAAAAACUUUUCUUGUGGUUGGACUUCUGAUUGAUUCUGAAUAUAAAAUAGAUAUGCAUGUAUUUUCCAAAGCACAAAGUCUCUAGUAUUUGAAAUACGCAUUUUACAAAUGUGAUGUUGAGGGGGUAAAUUAUAGGUGAGGGGUAAAUUUUGACAAAAAUCGAAAUUCUAUAAAGCACAUAUGAAUCUACAUUAAAAAUUUAGGGUAUCUAGUUUUAAAGAUGUAGCAGAUCUAAACUUAUCACUGGUUUCGAUAAUUAUUUUAAUCGAUAACAAAACAAAGCGACAAUUAUCGAUAUUUGAAGCAAAACUCGAUAUGCGCGUGGUAUACACGAACCUAGGUAAAAGGCGUAAUCAGUCAUUUUCAUCGGUAGUCAAUCACUUUGUUGGUCCUCCUUUAGACUGAAUACCCGUCUGCAAACGUCUUCUCGUGCUAAUCAUUGGCCUUGACGUUUCAUAAGUGGUGGUAUUGGGGUGAUUGACUACCGAUGAAAAUGACUGAUUACGCCUAUUGUGCCAAUACUUUUUUGACGAAAAUUUGGGCCUAUAUUUAUAUUUUAGUUCUGCGCAAGUGAACCAAACUAGAAAUUUAAUUUUUUUUGUUAAAUAUUAUUAGAAAACAUGGUUUUAACUAAUACCGUUUUUCAUUUAUUUAUAGUUUGAUUUAUCAAGUGUGCCAAUACUUUUUUGGCCCACUGUACAAUCUGUCAAAUAAGUACCCGGAAAUUUCAAAUAAAACACAAACAAAAACAAAAUAGGCCCCUUCUGGACAAUACACUUCUUCCAACGGGAAAUCUAAUCAUCGAAACACUAUUUAAAGCUAUAUUCCGGGAUGGCCUUCAGUUCUCGUUGUGAAUUAGUUUUCAUGUCUUUAAUGCUCUCAAAACGGGAUCCACAAAGUAGUAAUUUGAGUUUUUGAAACAGGAAAAAUUCACACGGGGCCAUAUCUGGAGAGUACGGUGGUUGUUCGAUGAUAUUUGUUAAAUUCUUGUUCAAAAACUCGUUCAUAAUGUUCGCUUUGUGCGCUGGUGCAUUACCGUGGUGCAAAAUUAGACUGAUAUUCUGCCACAAAUUUGGUCUUUUGCGACGAAGAUUCUUGCUCAAACGCCUCAUAACGCCAAGAUAAUAUUUGGCCCUUCAGUAAGAAUAAACAACACCACGAAUUCUUCAGUUGAAGAAGUCGAAGGUUGUCCUGAACGUGGUAAAUCGUUCACUUCUCCUCGCCCUUUGAACGAUUUAUACCUAAAGUUUUUGACGUGGUUGAAUCACCAAAUGUUUUUUUUUUUUUCAACAUUUCCAACGGGAACUUCUUUGACAGAAUGGACUCUAGCUGAGCCGGUGUUGCAGCUUGGAGCUUGAUAUUGUGAAGUCCAAUUUAAUUCAAAUUGAAACUGGGCAUAAAGGAUGACUUCAGAUUUGACCAAGAUGAUGUCUCGAAACGCACUGCGGAAAUUAUCCAGAAAUGGCUGAUAUGGAAAUGUUCCAGCCCAGUCAUCAGAAAUAAAUGUAAUCGAAAAUUUGUAGUCGAUUUUGGAAAUAAACAUUCGCAAAUACAA